UACGGAGGAUGCGAGCGUUAUCCGGAUUUAUUGGGUUUAAAGGGUGCGCAGGCGGCACGGCAAGCCGGCGGUCAAAUCGCGGGGCUCAACGCCGUCGAGCCGUUGAAACUGGCGUUCUUGAGUGGGCGAGAAGUAUGCGGAAUGCGUGGUGUAGCGGUGAAAGGCAUAGAUAUCACGCAGAACUCCGAUUGCGAAGGCAGCAUACCGGCGCCCUACUGACGCUGAGGCACGAAAGCGUGGGUAUCGAACAGG
rnacentral:rRNA from 1 species